AUAAUAUUCGCUACUAUUGGUGUGACAUCUUUUUUAUGUCACUUAAAAGGGAAGUCGGUGAAAGACCGACGCUGUCCCGCAACUGUAACGAGGAGUCCUAUGCUAUUUCAUGCCACUAUUGAAGAAUGGGAAGGCUGUCAUAAGGAUGUAGAAUCGAAGCCAGGAGACCUGCCAAUUAGUAAGACCUGUA
rnacentral:ncRNA from 2 species